GAUGAACGCUGGCGGCGUGCUUAACACAUGCAAGUCGAACGAUGAAGCCCAGCUUGCUGGGUGGAUUAGUGGCGAACGGGUGAGUAACACGUGAGUAACCUGCCCUUAACUCUGGGAUAACUUCGGGAAACCGGAGCUAAUACCGGAUAACAUGUUGAACCGCAUGGUUCAACAGUGAAAGACGGUCUUGCUGUCACUUAUAGAUGGAUCCGCGCCGCAUUAGCUAGUUGGUAAGGUAACGGCUUACCAAGGCAACGAUGCGUAGCCGACCUGAGAGGGUGAUCGGCCACACUGGAACUGAGACACGGUCCAGACUCCUACGGGAGGCAGCAGUAGGGAAUCUUCCGCAAUGGGCGAAAGCCUGACGGAGCAACGCCGCGUGAGUGAAGAAGGUCUUCGGAUCGUAAAACUCUGUUAUUAGGGAAGAACAAAUGUGUAAGUAACUGUGCACGUCUUGACGGUACCUAAUCAGAAAGCCACGGCUAACUACGUG
rnacentral:rRNA from 1 species